AACCCAUAGAUUGGAUACGAACAGCCCUUAACCGUCGCUUUGGCCUCCGUUGUGCUGCGGCGGGGACUCCAUGGAGCUGAGCGCGAAAUGGCGGAAGAAGCAUCGUCUGGAAGGUGACGGCGUUGACGUCGAGGAUGACUCAGAACCAAUCGAUUACCAAGAACAAGAGGAGAUGGUUAGAUCUUUUGAGAUGGAGCAUGAUCGACAGAAUCGCCUUUGGAGGCGUGUUUUCGCUGGAUUUAUCGUCGGAUAUAUUGCCUUCCUGGUCUACUCAACCUUACAGCAAGCUUGGUUCCCAUGGGAACUGCGUUAUCAUGCUUAUUUUAUGGAUGAAAUGCAAAGCUGGAUGGUCAUAUCUGCAGACUUGGUUGCUGUCCUAGCUUGUUCAUUUGCUGUUAAGGGAAUAAUUGAUAGUUCAAGAUCUCUGCAGCAUUGGAUGUGGUACUCAUGCUACGUCGGGAUGCUGCUUGCCAUCUUUUGGUUGUUUUACAUGCUGAAGUUGCCAAAAUUUCGGUGGGAUGUACUAUGGCUUCCGUUGGGUCCUUUAAGUGGUGCGGGAGCCUGUCUUUACGUGGAUCGUUUGUUACAUGGAUCACUGAAAGAUGUAAAGUUGCUCCGUAGCUAUAUGUAUAAUUACAAGGCCUUGUAGAUCUGGGCUCUUCUUGGUCAAUGCUGCUGUCAUACCUUUUGAUCGACAUUAUUGUGUAUACGUGCUCGUUUGCAUAACAAAUACAAAUGGGCUCUUCUUCAAUGCUGCUGUCAUACCUUCUGAUCGACAUUAUUGUGUAUGCGUGCUCGUUUGCAUCACAAAGUAAUUGUCUCUAUUGCUGGUUGUAGGCUUGUAACUCUCACAAAAAGUCUGCUGUAAUUGGAGCAGAGCCAAAAUGUUCAAUUUGUUUCAUUGUAAGGCCGUGAGAAUGACUAUAUCAAUUUUCAUUAGUAUUGAAUUACAAAUAUAUUAGUUUGUGCA